rnacentral:rRNA from 1 species
UACAGAGGGGGCAAGCGUUGUUCGGAAUUACUGGGCGUAAAGGGCGCGUAGGCGGCCUGCUAAGUCGAACGUGAAAUCCCUGGGCUCAACCCAGGAACUGCGUCCGAUACUGGUUGGCUUGAAUCCGGGAGAGGGAUGUGGAAUUCCAGGUGUAGCGGUGAAAUGCGCAGAUAUCAGGAGGAACACCGGUGGCGAAGGCGGCCUGCUGGGCAGUUACUGACACUGAGGCGCGACGAGCGUGGGG